rnacentral:misc_RNA from 1 species
UUGAAAUGCUUUGGAGAAGUACUGUUGCUGGCCUCUUAACAGAGGCAUGUGCACGUCUUCUUUAAAUCUAUUCAUCCACCUGUGCACUUUUUGUAGAAGUUCUUGUGAGGUUUUGGGGUUUUGGUUGUGGACUUAGGUCUGCAGUUGAUUCUUUGCGAGUCUUCUAUGUCUUACAAACUCUAUUAGUAUGUUUUAGAAUGUCUUUUAUUGGGACUUCAUUGGCCCUUUAAACUUUAUA